GGACCCGCACAAGUAGUGGAGCAUGUGGUUUAAUUCGAAGAUACGCGCAGAACCUUACCAACACUUGACAUGUUCGUCGCGACUUUAAGAGAUUAAAGUUUUCGGUUCGGCCGGACGAAACACAGGUGCUGCAUGGCUGUCGUCAGCUCGUGUCGUGAGAUGUUGGGUUAAGUCCCGCAACGAGCGCAACCCUCACUUUUAGUGCCAUCAUUAAGUUGGGCACUCUGAAAGAACUGCCAGUGAUAAGCUGGAGGAAGGUGGGGAUGACGUCAAGUCCUCAUGGCCCUUACGUGUUGGGCUACACACGUGCUACAAUGGUAUCUACAACAGGAAGCAAAACGGCGACGUUAAGCAAAUCCUUAAAAGAUACCUCAGUUCGGAUUGUACUCUGCAACUCGAGUACAUGAAGCUGGAAUUACUAGUAAUCGU
rnacentral:rRNA from 1 species